AUUGAACGCUGGCGGCAGGCCUAACACAUGCAAGUCGAGCGGCAGCGGAAAGUAGCUUGCUACUUUGCCGGCGAGCGGCGGACGGGUGAGUAUGUCUGGGAAACUGCCUGAUGGAGGGGGAUCACUACUGGAAACGGUAGCUAAUACCGCAUAACGUCGCAAGACCAAAGAGGGGGACCUUCGGGCCUCUUGCCAUCAGAUGUGCCCAGAUGGGAUUAGCUAGUAGGUGGGGUAAUGGCUCACCUAGGCGACGAUCCCUAGCUGGUCUGAGAGGAUGACCAGCCAAACUGGAACGGAGACACGGUCCAGACUCCUACGGGAGGCAGCAGUGGGGAAUAUUGCACAAUGGGCGCAAGCCUGAUGCAGCCAUGCCGCGUGUAUGAAGAAGGCCUUCGGGUUGUAAAGUACUUUCAGCGGGGAGGAAGGUGUUGAGGUUAAUAACCUCAGCAAUUGACGUUACCCGCAGAAGAAGCACCGGCUAACUCCGUGCCAGCCGCCGCGGUAA
rnacentral:rRNA from 1 species